AUCUUUGAUGCUCUACUUUAACUUGCUGACAUAUCAAACACCUAGCCACAAAUUGUGCAAUUUCUCUCUUCAUAUUAUUCCACCAAAAUGUACCUUUCAAUUCCUUAUACAUCUUAGUACCCCUAGGAUGCAUUGUAUAUCUAGUAUUAUGAGCUUCCCUCAUAAUUUCAUUCUUUAAAUCAGAGUUAUUUGGAAUACAAAUUCUGUUCCUGUAUCUCAAUGAUCCAUCCUCAUGAAGUCUGAAUUCUGAUUGAAAACCUGAUUCAAUAUCACUUCUAAGCUUUUGCAACUGAGGGUCAUCUGCUUGAGCAAUCCUGAUCCUCUCUAUCAAGGUAGGUUGGACAUGUAGGUUUGCCAAAAGUGCAUCAGGAUCAUGCCAACAUACCUCGAUUUCUGCUCUUCUUAGAUCUUCCAAAAUUCUUCUCUGAGAGGUGAGUAAGGCGGCAAUAGAGGAAAAACCCUCAA
rnacentral:lncRNA from 1 species